GACGAACCGUGCGAACGUUGUUCGGAAUUACUGGGCGUAAAGCGUGCGCAGGCGGUUUGUAAGCCAGAUGUGAAAUCCCCGGGCUUAACCUGGGAAUGGCAUUUGGGACUGCAAGGCUGGAGUUUGGCAGAGGAGACUGGAAUUCCUGGUGUAGCAGUGAAAUGCGUAGAUAUCAGGAGGAACACCGAUGGCGAAGGCAGGUCUCUGGGCUGAAACUGACGCUCAUGCACGAAAGCGUGGGGAGCAAACAGG
rnacentral:rRNA from 1 species